rnacentral:rRNA from 1 species
UGGGGAAUAUUGCACAAUGGAGGGAACUCUGAUGCAGCGACGCCGCGUGAACGAAGAAGGCUUUCGAGUCGUAAAGUUCUUUUAUAUGGGAAGAUAAUGACGGUACCAUAAGAAAAAGCCCCGGCUACCUACGUGCCAGCAGCCGCGGUAAUACGUAGGGGGCUAGCGUUGUCCGGAAUCACUGGGCGUAAAGGGUUCGCAGGCGGAAAUGCAAGUCAGGUGUAAAAGGCAGUAGCUUAACUACUGUAAGCAUUUGAAACUGCAUAUCUUGAGAAGAGUAGAGGUAAGUGGAAUUUUUAGUGUAGCGGUGAAAUGCGUAGAUAUUAAAAAGAAUACCGGUGGCGAAGGCGACUUACUGGGCUCAUUCUGACGCUGAGGAACGAAAGCGUGGGUAGCAAACAGG